GAAGAGGGGAAAAGAGAGUGUACGAACCAGUGGCCAAUAGAGAGGAGAGAGAGAUAAGGAGUGAAUAUGAUUAAGGGGACUUAAACCUCAUUGUUCUGGGCGCAUUUCCAUUCAAUAAAAGUUCAUCGGUUUAUCGGGAAGAAAAGACUAUCUGCUGAAAAAAAAAAGGGAAGUGAAGAAAGCCUACGAGAUUAUAUCCAGCGAUUUGUGGUCACUGUGAUCGAGAUUCCACAAAUGGAAGAAUCAACAGCAAUAUUUGCAUCUACAAACAAGUUAAGAGACUCAAGAUUUAGCUACUCGCUCUACAAAAGACCCUUGAAAGACUUGGAGCAAUUAUUAGAAAGGGCACAAUGUUGCCACGAAAUGGAAGAAGUCACGUCUUUGAAAUGUGCAUCAGAAGGGCAUGAACCAAUGGAAAAGAUAUAAGAUCAAGAUUAUCUAGAAUAGGAAGAGGAGAACAUCACCAAGUGAUAGUUUGACUUUCACAAAAUUCUAAGCAAUUGAGAUAUCGAAGUUUGAAGUGAGGAACUAAACCUUCAUGGUCAUUAAAAUAAAAGUUAUGUUGUAUCAUUAUGAUAAAUAUAUACACCUAGGCACCGAUGUUCGACAAACUUGUAAUUGCAAGGUCUACGGACUCAAUAAAGACUCACGAGGUCAAUAAAGAACCUACAUGUUUUAAUAUUUUAAGGUCUACGGAUCCAAUAAAGAUCCACGAGGUCAAUAAAGAACCUAAGAAUUUCAAUAUUUCAAGAUCUACUGACUUAGUAAAGACCUAGAAGGUCAAUGAAUAACCCAUGAAUUUCAAUAUUUCAAGGUCGAUGGACCCAAUAAAGACCCAUAAGGUCAAUAAAGAACUUAAGGGUUAAAAAUUUUCAAGGUCUAUAGACUCAUUAAAGACUUACGAGUUGAUAAUAAAAUACAUAAAUCUUAAAUGCAAGAGUCACAAAAAAAAAAAUCUAUAUCGAUAAAUUAGUAAAUUCUAUUGAUCAAUUUUAAAGAAAUUUAUAAGUUAACAAGUUAUAUGCCUCGGGAUGCAAUAAAAAGAUCCAUAUAUCAAUCAUUAAGGAUUUGUGGAUCAUCAUGAAAUAUGAGCGACUAAAACACUCUUAAGUAUAUGAACCCAAAAUUGCUCAAAGGUUGAUACGACAACUUGCAAAUUCAAAAAUGGGUGAUGCAACCUAAGUCUCCAGAUCAACACUUAGGUUGGGGGCAAAAAAUAUGGGUUCGUAAAUAUGGGUCUAUAAUGGGCCUGGAAAUGGACAUGGGUUAUCGUUCAAUGUACAUAUUAACACGUCCAACCGAUGGUCAGUGGCCGACAAAGCCUAGUUGCCCACUUGAAUAAGAAAAUAUGAAAAUAACUUCGUGUAUCUCAACCUUUACAUGUUAUCUUAGUUUUAUCCCAAUGUAGAUUUUUUUCUGAGGUACCCUAACAUUAAUUGUUUGGUUUCAAAUCCAUCCCACCGUAAAAGUUCCGUCCAUUUUUUACGGAAAUGCUGAUGUGACUCGUUAAUUGCUUGACAGAGUUGAUGUGGAGAGUGUAUGGGCCCCGAUAUAA